rnacentral:rRNA from 1 species
AUUGAACGCUGGCGGCUGGCCUAACACAUGCAAGCCGAGCGGGUGAUGCGAUCUUGCUGCUGAAUUCAGCGGCGGAGGGGUGAGGAAUGCCUAGGAACCUCCCUGGUAGCGGGGGAUAACGACCGGAAACGGGCGGUAAUACCGCAUACGUUGUGAGGGGGUGAGUGGGGUUUCUUGGGACUUCACGCUUCUACAUGAGCUUACGUCGGAUUGGCUAGUUGUUUGGGUAAAGGCUUACCAAGGCGACGAUCCGUAAGUGGUCUGAGAGUAUGAGCAGUCACACUGGAACUGAGACACGGUCCAGACUCCUACGGGAGGAAGCAGUCGGGAAUAUUGGACAAAGGGCGAGAGACUGAUCCAGCCAUGCCGCGUGUGAGAAGAAAGUCUUCGGAUUGUAAAGCAAUUUAAGUUGGGAGGAAGGGCAGUAAGUUAAUACCGUGCUGUUUUGACGUUACCAACAGAAUAAGCACCGGCUAACUUCGUG